GGGUCGAAAUUGGUAACGGCCUUUGAAAUCGCUCAAUAACUGCUCGACUCUUAAUCAGCGGGUCCACAGUUCGAGCCUGUGAUCACCCACCA
rnacentral:tRNA from 1 species